ensembl:lncRNA SATB1-AS1 SATB1 antisense RNA 1
GCUUAGAUGUGGAAGCUCUUUGGAAACCAAGAAACACUCUGAAAAUGAAAAGGUGUACAAAAAGGGAAUUGAAGAGGAAGUCAAAUAAAGAAAAGAAAAUACUACCCGUGCAACUUGCAACAUGUACGGCCUGUGUCACCACACAAUCUGUGAAUAAUAAGAAGUUACUUUAAAUAAUACUUCAGCAGUUAUCUCAAUCAUGUGAUUUGUUUGAACUUCCAAGGCUAAUACUUUCAGCUCAACAGUUAUCUAUAUUAUAACAUACCGUAAUGCCUUAUGGAGAGUUAAAAAUUCUCAUUUCAACUGUCCUCUUCUGCAAAGCUUUAAUAAGUAAUGCAAAAAACUCACCCCCUUUCAUGUAUUGAUGAAUAUAGGUAGAUAAAAAUUUUAGAGGGAAAAAUAGGGGCUGGGUCACCAAUAUGAGAACAUAGAUAAGUAGGCACAUUUGCCUGGUGGGUGGUCAGCUCAUUUGCAGGGGCAUCUGUAGACAGAAACUUGGAGAUUAUGUGCAGUCUAUAGGCUGAUCUAAUGACUGCCAUGAAUGAUAGUUUCACAUAGAUGUACCAACUGAAAAAUGACAUACAGAUGGUCCCCGAUUUAUGAUGGCUCAACUUAAGAUUUUUUGACUUUACAAUGGUGUGAAAACAAUAUACAUUCAGUAGAAACUGUACUUAGAGUACCCAUAAAAUCAUUCCGUUUUUCACUUUCAUUACAGUAUUCAAUAAACUCCAUGAUAUAUUCAACAUUUUGUUAUAAAAUAAGCCUUAUAUUAGAGGAUUUUGAUCAACCGUAG